rnacentral:ncRNA from 1 species
GAGCCUGCGGCUUAAUUUGACUCAACACAGGAAACCUCACCCAGCCCGGACAUGGACAGGAUUGACAGAUUGAUAGCUCUUUCUCGAUUCUGUGGGUGGUAGCGCAUGGCCGUUCUUAGCUGAUGGAGCGAUUUGUCUCUCCAUAUAUAUAUAUAUAAUAUGUAUACAUAUAGAAAAAUUUAUAUAUGCAUAUGUAAGCAUAUAUAAUCUCUUAGUAUUUCCUAUAAACUUUUGUUAGAAGUAUGAUAUAUCACAGGUAAUGGAAACUGAAGGAAAUAAGAUUUCAGUGUCAGUUUAUGUUAAUCUGACUAGCGUGUGCUA